rnacentral:rRNA from 1 species
AUGGAGUGGUCGAUUCGAAGUUGGGCAUUGGAGGAGGCCCGACAGGUCAUCUUCAUGCUCGAUAGUGGCAGCCUGACUUCGGCGGCUCAUUCUUCCACAUGUGAUUGCCCCUUCUCCCUUUUCCUGCCUCCCUUGUUUAUUUAUUUCCCGUUUCUUCCUUUCUCUGCAUGUGUAUGGUUGAACCAAUAUAAUGAAACCCAGGCACAACUGCUCAACUUGUUAGUUAAAGAUGUAAAUUUGUUUAUGUCGUCCACUUUUUGCGUGCUUGGGAUGGGCAUCGGUGGUGUACCCCCCUGCUCCCAUUCAUAUUGA